UACGUAGGGGGCGAGCGUUAUCCGGAUUUACUGGGUGUAAAGGGAGCGUAGACGGUUAUGCAAGUCAGAAGUGAAAGCCCAAAGCUCAACUUCGGGACUGCUUUUGAAACUGUGUAACUAGAGUGCAGGAGGGGUAAGCGGAAUUCCUAGUGUAGCGGUGAAAUGCGUAGAUAUUAGGAGGAACACCGGCGGCGAAGGCGGCUUACCGGACUGUAACUGACGUUGAGGCUCGAAAGCGUGGGGAGCAAACAGG
rnacentral:rRNA from 1 species